CUACGGGAUGCAGCAGGCGAGAAAACUUUGCAAUGUGCGAAAGCACGACAAGGUUAAUCCGAGUGGUUUCUGCUAAAGGAACCUUUUGACAGUCCUAGAAACACUGUUGAAUAAGGGGUGGGCAAGUUCUGGUGUCAGCCGCCGCGGUAAAACCAGCACCUCAAGUGGUCAGGAUGAUUAUUGGGCCUAAAGCAUCCGUAGCCGGCUCUGUAAGUUUUCGGCUAAAUCUGUACGCUCAACGUACAGGCUGCCGGGAAUACUGCAGAGCUAGGGAGUGGGAGAGGUAGACGGUACUCGGUAGGAAGGGGUAAAAUCCUUUGAUCUAUUGAUGACCACCUGUGGCGAAGGCGGUCUACCAGAACACGUCCGACGGUGAGGGAUGAAAGCUGGGGGAGCAAACCGGAUUAGAUACCCCCGUAGUC
rnacentral:rRNA from 1 species